AAGAGGCACUCCUAGUUCCAUCUAAUUUCCGAUCGGUAUGGAUUCAAAGAUUCGACGGCCAUUUUGAGAAGACGUGACACUCGGAGAACACGUCAUUGCGACAUUCGAUAUUGGGAUGCAGGAUUCGAUCGAAGAUAGAUGCGAGAGAUUUUCAUGGAAAAGAUUAUUAAGAUCGUUGACACGACGGUAAUUUCACGUGCAUGGAGGACAAGGAGGAUCCGAAGACGCAGAAGAUCAGAUGAGAGAGAAACUUUUAUUUAUCUCAUCUUCGUUUAAAAGGAAGAGGCUAAAUAUGAAAACAAUUUCAGAGUGUCACUAUGGUGGAUCGUAAAAUUGUUAAGAAACAUCAUCAUCUUUCGGCUCUCAGUUAAAUUACAGAGAACAAUGUCUAAAUCUUAACUUAGUCGCGUAAAAUCUUUCGACGUAAAAUCACGCAAAUUGUUAUCGAUUGUCCCGGAUUAUGACAGCAUGAAAAUUUAACAGCAACCGGAAGUCAAUGAUGAGCAGAAUAAGAAACGUGAAUUCGAGGAAGCGUCAUUACGAGUAAAAUUUCAUAACGAAACGAACAAAUUUCAUAACAAAACGAUAGAAGAAGAGUUAUUAACUAUCAAAGA